rnacentral:rRNA from 1 species
CCUACGGGAGGCAGCAGUGGGGAAUAUUGCACAAUGGGCGCAAGCCUGAUGCAGCGACGCCGCGUGAGGGAUGACGGCCUUCGGGUUGUAAACCUCUUUCAGUAGGGAAGAAGCGAAAGUGACGGUACCUGCAGAAGAAGCGCCGGCUAACUACGUGCCAGCAGCCGCGGUAAUACGUAGGGCGCAAGCGUUAUCCGGAAUUAUUGGGCGUAAAGAGCUCGUAGGCGGUUUGUCGCGUCUGCCGUGAAAGUCCGGGGCUCAACUCCGGAUCUGCGGUGGGUACGGGCAGACUAGAGUGAUGUAGGGGAGACUGGAAUUCCUGGUGUAGCGGUGAAAUGCGCAGAUAUCAGGAGGAACACCGAUGGCGAAGGCAGGUCUCUGGGCAUUAACUGACGCUGAGGAGCGAAAGCAUGGGGAGCGAACAGGAUUAGAUACCCUGGUAGUCCAUGCCGUAAACGUUGGGCACUAGGUGUGGGGGACAUUCCACGUUUUCCGCGCCGUAGCUAACGCAUUAAGUGCCCCGUCUGGGGAGUACGGCCGCAAGGCUAAAACUUAAAUGAAUUGACGG